rnacentral:rRNA from 1 species
GACAGCAGUCGCCGCGGUAAUGCGUAGGUGGCAAGCGUUGUCCGGAAUUAUUGGGCGUAAAGGGCUCGCAGGCGGUUUCUUAAGUCUGAUGUGAAAGCCCCCGGCUCAACCGGGGAGGGUCAUUGGAAACUGGGAAACUUGAGUGCAGAAGAGGAGAGUAGAAUUCCACGUGUAACGGUGAAAUGCGUAGAGAUGUGGAGGAACACCAGUGGCGAAGGCGACUCUCUGGUCUGUAACUGACGCUGAGGAGCGAAAGCGUGGGGAGCGAACAGGAUUAGAUACCCCUGUAGUCCCUGUCUCUUAUAC